rnacentral:rRNA from 1 species
UACGAAGGGGGCUAGCGUUGUUCGGAUUUACUGGGCGUAAAGCGCACGUAGGCGGGUCGUUAAGUCAGAGGUGAAAUCCCCGGAGCUCAACUCCGGAACUGCCUUUGAUACUGGCGACCUUGAGGCUGGAAGAGGUUAGUGGAAUUCCCAGUGUAGAGGUGAAAUUCGUAGAUAUUGGGAAGAACACCAGUGGCGAAGGCGGCUAACUGGUCCAGAUCUGACGCUGAGGUGCGAAAGCGUGGGGAGCAAACAGG